AUCACUUCUCGACCUUUUGGCUAAGAUCAAGUGUAGUGUCUGUUCUUAUCAGUUUAGUAUCUGAUAUGUCCUCUAUCCAAGGACAAUCUAUUAAAUUCUCCUUAAGCUGAUAAGAAACUUUA
ensembl:snRNA U2 U2 spliceosomal RNA